rnacentral:lncRNA from 1 species
GUUAGACUCACGCAGUGUGAGUGGGAGCGUCUCACGUGGCCGCCGCGCCUCUGUCAUGUGUCCAGGAUUGCUUUGCUUGGUGGUGUGGCCCUGAUCUUGCCUGCCUGGUCGCGUGGGUGUGCGUGUGCGCACCCAUCUGUCCUGUGGAGUGUGCGUGUGUUUGCCAUUUCCUUCUCCUGCUGACUCUUCCUGCUCCCCCUCCUCUCAGUGUCCCACUCUGUGCCCUGCUCAACAGGCCCUGUACCCCUUCUUUUGAUGGGGGUAUGGCAGGAUCAUCUUUGCUUCAUUGCGGUUCCGCCCACGAGCUGACUCUUUCCUCUUGGUGUUCUAACGCAGUGUUACUUUUUCUCUCGUGGACAUUCUUUAAGCUGAUGCCCUCUGCGGCCAGCGCCGUCUUCCCAGGUCCGUUCCCGGCUCUGCCUCUUCACACAAGUGCCUUUCUCCCCUGCCCCGCGUGCCCUGGUUCCUCUCCCGAGGUGCUGAGCCUGGCCCCGUGGACGCCCCCAGCCCUUGGCCAGGCAGCAGAUAGCCAGGGCCCAGGACCCCCUGUGCCAGGCUUUCUCCCUCUGCUUGCCAGCUUAGCCCCGUCUUUCAGCAUCUGCCGGGCAGGUUCGGUGUCGCAGGAGCUCUUAGUGCUUCCAGUCCAGGGCCUCUGGUGACAGCAGACCCCUCAGACCUGCAGCAGCCGGAGGAGGGGUGACCCGGGAGUUGUUCUGGGCCACAGAGCUCAGGGCCUUCGUGGGGAGAGCUUCCAACCCUGUUUCCAUGCUGUGGCCUCCCCUUCCAACAGCAGCCUUUACUCCACCACCCCGGCCUGCCACCUCCAGCCUCCUGGUCGUGCCCUCGGGCUGUCCCCAGGCUGGCUGACCUCACGAGGGGAAGGCCUGGCCCAGAGGAGAGGCUGACUUCCGGCCCAACUCAGUGAGCCAGGACCUCCUGCUGCAGCUAAGCAGGCAGGGAUGAGACGGGAAAGCAGAUGGGAGUCAGGGUAUGCUCAGAUUUGAAGCUCAGCUUUAUUAUUUAUGGGCAAAUAAACUUUCUGGUCCUGUCUCCUGGGCGACACUAGGCCGCCACAGCCCAGGUGAAAGCACUAGGGACAGCAUCGGGAGUCCCAAGUCAGUGCUUAGUCAGAGGGCUGCCCUUGCUAACCCACGCACUGGGAGGUCCAGGAGGCUGUGUCACGGAAGAGGCCGCCCACCCCUGGACAGUGAGGGGAGCUUUGCUGUGCCAGCCCUCUGCGCUGGAGGAGGAUGCAUGGAAGGGCCACACGGAGGGGCUGAGUCAGCCGGGACCCCGGGCACCGUGUCCUAUGAGCGCUGCCCUGGGCAGAGGGACAGCAAUCAAGUUAUGGCAGCCCAGGCCAGCAGUGGGGCCUGCGGGUGGGUGCGGCCGUUGAAACCUAACUCCUUCGUUUCUCUCCCAUGCUUUCUCCUCCGGCCAGGAGCGGAAGGUUUUCAUAGAGCUGAAUCACAUUAAAAAGUGCAAUACAGUUCGAGGCGUCUUUGUCCUGGAGGAAUUUGGUAAUUACACUAUUUUGCUCUUAGGUCUGGACUCACAUGGCAGUAACUCAAACCUUGGAGCUCCAGAGCAGGGCUAGGGGCAGGGCGAAGAAGAGCUGCAGAGAGGAGAGGAGGAGCAGGAGCGGCAGGGAGCUCGGGAGAAGAGAGGAGGGAAGGGCACAGGAGGGUGCAGCCAUGUGGGCUGAGCCCUAGAGAUGGCCCAGGGCUGAGAGUCCAGGGAAAGGCCUGCGGGACCGGGCGGACAUCCCAAGCCCGGCUGUGUCCGUGUGGCCGCCGCCGACCGUGGCAGCCCCCAGCCCCACCACUGCCCUGUCCCUGGCUGGCCUGUCCCAGAGGAGGGUGUGUGGGCAUCCAGAGGGCCAGGGCCACAGAGGCGGAAGGGGCUGAGCCAGGCUCCCCUGGCGCUGUGGCGGCACUCAGGAAGGGUCCUUGGCCCGGGCUUGGGGUGGCUGCUGUUUGUGCUUCAUUCUCUUGCGCCCUCAUCGCUGCUAUGAAAACCUUCGUUCUCCAGCAGGUAAAAUGACCGGCUCCCCCCAGGCCCCUGCCGGGUGGGGCUCCCGCCAGCCGCUCACACUGCCAUUCACAUUGCCAGUUCAUCCGUGUCCUCCUCUCUCCCCCUUCCCGCCCCACCGCUGGCUCCCUGGUUCCGGGCUCUGUCCCCAGUGUGCGCCCUCCUCUCCUGCGGGGACACUGGGGCUUUUCCGCUCAGGACACUGGGCCAGGCUUCUUGCUCUACCUUGGAGUUCACUCCCUGCUAACCCAGGUUCCCAAUUCUCCAUCCCAGGGUCAGAAGAAGGUGUGGCCAGCUCUCAUCCUCCCUUUUCUGUCCCCCCCUCCAGGGGGACAGCACACCCCUCUCCCUGUCUUAGGAGGCCACACUGUGGCCGGCCUGGGGCCCCACUCCUUCGUCUGGCCAUGCAGAGCCCCUGCAUGGCGUCCGUGGGCGGCUCCUCGGCUUGUACUCUGGGCUGUGGACGUGUGUACUGCUGGUGCUCCCCGCCCUCCCCGGGUGCUGUCCUCGCCUGUGUCCUGCUUGGUGUGUCUGCUCCGGAGCCCUCUGACGCUCUCCCUCACACAGCCAGGCACGGGCUGCUCCUGCCACUCGCUCGGGGAAGGACACAGCCUCAGCCGAUGGGUCUAGUGUCCUGUGGCUCCCUCGUCCAGCCUGAGGCCUCUGUGCAGGGCUGGGAGGAAGGGGAACCUCGGGCUGUGACAGGCCAAGUUCCCUCGGCUCAGCAGGGCGGGCACAGGCUAGAGGCCACUGUCUUGCCCACCGCCUUCCCGCCUCAGGCUCCUGGACAGGGGCAGUGCCCAGGCUGCAGAAAGGCUGCACGGGGCUAGCUGAGGACUGCCCCACAGAAGCCUCCGGUGGUCUCUGUCCUGUCCCAGCCUCAGAGGCUGCAGAGGGGAAGGGGACCCCUGUGCCAGGCGCUGCCGCCUGGGGAAGCAUGGCACUGCUGCUCUUAGUUGUGAACUUUCUGUUUUGUCUCUUGCCUGUCCGGUUUUAGUUCCUGAAAUUAAAGAAGUGGUGAGCCACAAGUACAAGACACCAAUGGCCCACGAGAUCUGCUACUCUGUGCUGUGUCUCUUCUCCUGCGUGGCCGCCGUCCGUGCAGCGGGGAGGACCUCCAGACACCACCCCGGCCCGUCUCGGAGCUGACCCGAGAGGGACAGGCUGCCAUCCGGCCCGGGGGCGCCCCUCUCCCACCACUGCCGUGCAGUGGGUGGCUCCCCGCCUGUGUCCUGUGAGCCCCCGCGUGGCCUAGCUGGCUCCUGCUUGUCCCUGAGCGUGUCCUUGCCUCUGUCUUCAGGCUGUGGUGCUCGCUUCCCCCUUCCCCCUCUCUGCUUCCCCAGAGGCCAGCCUGCCGUACCCCGGGCUCGGGACAGCCUGGGUUCAUGGGACCAGCGUGAGUCCCCAUUGAGUGUCCUUUGACAUUGUGCAGUUCUUUGGCCUUGGCCUCAUGACACUCCGGGAAGGAGCCCGGCUCUCUGUCCUCUGUGAUCUGCAGUCCCCUGAGAUCUGUGGGCUGGGGGCCGGAAAGGAAGGCAAGCAGCUGGCAGAGUGGGGACCUCCCUGCCUCUCCUCCUCAUGGCCCCAGCUUGCUGUGUCUGCGGCCGGAGCGCAGUCUCCCUAUGGAGCGACAGGCCAGUGGUUGGGGGUGACGGAGCCCCUGGGAUGCUGGCUGCUCUGAGGAGGGGUGGGACAGGGCCCAUCUGAGGCCAGGUCUCCUGGUACCUGGAGACAGCCUGGUGCAUGGAUGACUGUAAAUAUUUCAGCUCCACAUUAUUUAUAGAAUAUGUACAGCUGCGUGAAUGUGAAAUAAAGGUCCUUAG